rnacentral:rRNA from 1 species
GACGAACGCUGGCGGCGUGCUUAACACAUGCAAGUCGAACGGAAAGGCCCUGCUUUUGUGGGGUGCUCGAGUGGCGAACGGGUGAGUAACACGUGAGUAACCUGCCCUUGACUUUGGGAUAACUUCAGGAAACUGGGGCUAAUACCGGAUAGGAUCUCCUGCUGCAUGGUGGGGGUUGGAUAGUUUCGGCGGUUGGGGAUGGACUCGCGGCUUAUCAGCUUGUUGGUGGGGUAGUGGCUUACCAAGGCUUUGACGGGUAGCCGGCCUGAGAGGGUGACCGGCCAAAUUGGGACUGAGAUACGGCCCAGACUCCUACGGGAGGCAGGAGUGGGGAAGAGUGCACAAUGGGCGGAGGCCUGAUGCAGCAACGCCGCGUGCGGGAAGACGGCCUUCGGGUUGGAAACCGCUUUCGCCUGUGACGAAACGUGAGUGACGGUAAUGGGUAAAGAAGCACCGGCUAACUACGUG